GAAACAAGCCGGGCAGAGGCAGGAGGAUCUCUGUGAGUUCAAGGCCAGCCUGGUCUACAGAGCUCGUUCCAGAAUAGCCAAGGUUACACAAAUAAACCCUGUCUUCAAAAAACAAAAACAAAAUUGCAAACAUUUCCCCAUGAUUUUGAUGUGUAAUCUGUAAUCCAGAAGUGUCUCCAGCACACUAGUUCCUACCUCAUCAUUAUUAACCAUGUGACCAUUGUAUUAGGGUGUCUGAAAAAUUCACUAUUCUCUUGACAUAGACACUUUAGGUUCACCCUUAAUUAUUACUGAAAUAAAAACAAAGCUCUUACUCUUGGUGUGGAAAAAGGAUAUGAAUCCAAAGUGUGUGUUGUGUUCUCUGUUGACCUCUACCUUCUACCUUGUCGCCUCUUGUUUUGUGUGACUUUGGGAAGGAGCCCUUUAUGCCCUGGUGCGCCAGGCAACUCCUUAAGAGUUACCAUAGUAUUGUAUGGAGGUAAUGGCCUUGGCUAGGUCCCUAGACCUCGGCUUAGGAUGGGCCUGGCACCCUGCCCCUUAGUUGCAUAGGAGUUGACCUUGUAAAAAUGAGAAGGGGUUGUAGGAUCUGGUCUAGAAAGAUCAUCUUCCUGAGGAAAAUCUCAGUUACACUGCAGGCUACUACAGAGCCUGUCUGUGCCCCCCAAAACAUGCCGCACACCCCCACACCAGUGGGAGAGUGGGCUCUGGCCUUGGCCCAGGUGUCCACCCGAGCAAGUGCUGGCUAUUCUGUAGAAUCAGCUAUACAGUAGUGGUUCUCACCCUUCCUAAUGCUAUGACCCUUUACUACAGUUCCUCAUGUUGUGGUGACCCCAACCAUAAAAUUAUUUUUGUUGCGACUUUAUAACUAGUUUUGCUACCAUUAUGGAUCGUGAUGUAAACAUCCGAUAGGUCACCCCUGUGAAAGGGUCAUUUAGCCCCCAAGGGGGUCAAGAUCCACGGGUUGAGAACUGUGCUCUAGGAGAUAAAGGAUAUGGAAUUGGCCAUCCUGGGAACUGACAAGCCUAGAUCUGGAAACCCAGCAGCCCCACAGGACAGUUGAGCAUAGAACAUGAGUCCCUGUAGCAGGCGACACCCAAGCCAGCUUGUGCAUGGCCCUAGUCCAGUCCUGGAAGCAGCACUGGGUUCUGCCCUUCCUGGUUGGGACGUGUCUGAAGCCACCUAUUUCCCAUGCUAUAAUUAGAUCCUUUACCGGGUACGCUACCAUUACCUCCCUGUGGGCCAGGUGCCAUGCAGUGUUUCCCAUGCACUCAAGUUUUCAGAACCUGCUGCAGGUUUAGUACUAUCCGUAGAUGGUCCCUCAGUCACAUAACUAGUGGGAAGGCAGGACAAGGAAGUGCAGGUCUACAUAAGUUAAUUUACCUGGGCCAGGGUGGUGGUGGUGCUGGUGGUGGUGGUGGUGGUGAUGGUGGUGGUGGUGGUGUGGUACACACCUUUAAUCACAGCACUCAGGAGGCAGAGGCAGGUGGAUUUCUGAGUUCAAGGCCAGCUUUUUUCAGGACAGCCAGGGCUACACAGAGAAACCCUGUCCCAAGACAAAAAAAAAAAAAAAAAAAGAAUGUUUCUGGGAAGUUGGAGCAAUGGCUGGUUUGUGGUCCCCCGAGAAAGAUGAUUCCACCACCUUAAGGCACAGCAUGAACAUCAGGCUUGGGAAGCUCCCACUGCAAGAACGCUGGCAGGAGAGUUGAGGGUUAGACAACAUUCCAGUAACCCAGGGUUCACACCACAGUUCUGCCUCUGUCAAAGCCAGAGGGCUUCUGGAGGGUUAGUAGGUGUCACACUUCAGGGUGAUUCAUGAAUGGAACACUUGGCCACGAUGUCACGUUGCUCCAAGCUCUCCAGUUACAUUGGCAACACCAGUCCCUUUCAGAGACAAGAAUGCUGUGGCUUGCCUGCUGGCUAAUGUCUUCCAGCUGUGAACCACGCCUGCAGAAAUUACACCAACGUGAAGUUCAUGUCUAACUACUCGGGGUGCAUGGACCUGUCCAGAGCAGCAGGGCCUCAGGCUGCCCAACCAUCCCCACUGACCUCCACUCUCGCUUCAUUUCACCGGGUGCCAAAUGCCUUUGAAUACUCGGGCCGCUUCCUGAAGCUGCCUGCUCCGCACAUGAACGUUGCUGGUUGUCUCCAGUCUCCUGCUCUGCAUGUAUCUCAGUGCAGCCCUUUGAGGUCUUAAGACAUGGACUGGGAUAGUCCUGAGUGAACAGAGGACCUCUCUCUGCUCCAGGCCAGGCAUAAGAUAUGCUUCAACCAGUGACUAGGAAGUCUCUCUGGACACAAUGAGACCAAGGGCUUUGACAGCCACAGUGCAGCUGGGCUGGGACCUGCUGUACCUAAGCUCGUGAUGCUGGCACACGUCCCAGCAGGAGAGGCAGCCAGCAGCAGCAAGCUGACAUCGCUCUGCUCUACCCGAAGCCUCUCAAGAGCAGGUCUGUCUGCUGUUCUCACCCUUUUGGAGUUACUUGUUACCCAGCAUGUUCACAGCAGCAGCAGCUAGUGAAUACAGCACCUGGAGAACUGUAGAGGCCAAGAGAGGUUGUCUGCUCAUGCCCAGCCCAGGCGGAGCUAGUCAGCUUCAACACACAAGAAAGCAGGACCAACGCCCUGACUUUCUCUCCCAUGGUCCCGAUGACUCAAGGGCCCCAGGGGUGCAAAGGCUAUUUGGAGUGCCUGCAAGGGCCAUUCUGCUGUCUGGAGCAAAGGUACGUCUCGGAUGGAGCAGAGAUGGAACUCAGAUUCUUUUUUUUUUUUUUUUUUUUUUGUAUUUCGAGACAGGGUUUCUCUGUGUAGCUUUGCGCCUUUUCUGGAACUCACUUGGUAGCCCAGGCUGGCCUAGAACUCACAGAGAUCCGCUUGGCUCUGCCUCCCGAGUGCCACCGCCACCGGGCGGAACUCAGAUUCUAAAACAGACAAGAGGGCUGAGCCGGAGAUAGCUCGGCUGCUGAAGCAUUGGUCUCAAGCUGAAUGCUCAGAAUCGACGUGAGUCUGCAAAUGAGUCUGCAAGGUGUGAUGACGAAUUUAUAAUCCCAGUGCAAGAGAGGACACAUGGGAUUCCUGGCCAGCUAAUCUCACCUAACUGGUGAGCUCCAGAUCAAUGAGACCCUAUCUUAAAGGAGGGUGGGUGACAUUCCCAAAGAUACCUGUGGCUGUUCUCUGGCUUUCACACAUUUUUUACAUGUACACAUGCUUACAAGCACACACAGACACACAGACACACAGACACACAGACACACACACACACACACACACACACACACACUUUUAUUGCUUAUUUAUUUUGCAGAGAUGGGCAAGGAUGCUUGUAUGUCCCAUGGUGCACAUGUGGAUGUCAGCUGGAGUUGGUUCUCUCCGUCCACCAUGUGGGUCCCAGAGAUUGAAGUAAGGUUAUCAGGUUUGGUGGCAGGAGCCUGACUACCCACUGAGCCGUCUUGCCAGCCCACUCUAUUCACAGUGGCAACUGGCUAGCUGACUGCCCCAACCACUGACACGACACUCUCUCAACCACGAGGCGGUCGUUGUCUCAUGCCCACAGGGAGGUGACUCACCACCAACCUGACGGGGUCUAUCUGGAGCACACCCCCAUCCUUGAUGCCUAAGCAGAUUGCCCACCUGAACCCCGCUGCCGGGUCAGCUCUAUCAACCCGCGGCCCCAUCCUUGGGAGGGCUUCCCAACCAUGACCCACAUAGCAGAGCUGAGCCCUGCUGUUCUCUGCUGCUCAUGUCUCUCACACCAUGUGCCUGGAUCAAGCAAGGCCAGCUGUGGAAGUAAAGCUCCUUACCAAUGUGGGCACUGACAUCUCCCUCAGAAGCGCAGGCCUGAUGGAGGCCCCUCCCUCAGGAGUCUCCUAUUCACUUGACCAAGAAGAGCCUGGGCUGGCCUGAAGUCCAGGGGUCUUCGCCGACCCAUCAUCCCCUUUGGCCUCUGAUGUACAAGCUGGGUGGAGCUUUGCUUCCCCUGCCUGUGCAGCAUUUGCAGUGGGGCAGGGGGUGCUUCUCCUUCGUGUUGGGAGUCCUCUGGCAGUCUGCCUCUGCCCAGGAUGCAGACCAUGCUGAGGCAUGAAGACCAGACAGGAGGAUGCAACAAGGGCAGGUUCCAGGAGAUCAAGACAAUGUAAGAGGCAGAGGUGUCUCUUGAACCCUGUACCACCCACUCCUCAUCUGGAGACCCAACACUAGAUGUCAGGGCCCUUGUUGGAAACCCCUCAGACACAAGGCGGCACAUCUCGAGGCCUGGCCAAAGCCUACAAGUGGCCAAGAAGGAGGUGUACCCCUUAGGAGAAGCUGCCUGUCCUGGCCCAGGAACGCAUCCAGGGCCUCCCAGGGCUGGCACCGAAGCCAAGCUCCUGCCAAGGAGAUGUGCUGCUGCAUCAUUCACACCACUGGAGGUUGUGACCCAUUAGAGAUCUAAGGGAGGACUGAGGGCCAGAGACAGGAGUCAGGCUGGCUGGGGAGUUCCUAGGAUCUCAUGCCAUGAGUCCUGAGCCUGUGUCAGGUGGCCACGCAGGAUGGGUUAACUGGACUCACCAGCCAUGGGAGUCAGACUCAGUCUGUAGAACCUAGGGACCUUUGUCUUGGGGGCUUCCAUGCUGAGGUAACCCUCAGCAGAUCAGGGGAGAGUGUGGGGCAGAGGGACGGCCGAGCUGAAUGCUCUUGGCUGGAAGUGGGUAGGUCUGGGUAACAAUCAAGAAGAAAUGAUUUACCUAAGCAUGGUGCACUCCUUCAAUCCCAGCACCCUGGAGGCAGAGGCAGGCAGAUUUCUGAUUUUAGGGCCAGCCUGGUCUACAGAGCAAGUUCCAGGCCACCUAGAGCGACACUGAGAAACCCUGCUCAAAACAAACAAAUGAAUAAAUAAAUGAGGAAGAUUUGAGCAGAGCCUUAGAGAUACAAAGUUCAUGGCUAAGUUCAGUGCCAGGUAGAGCUCGAGUCUGAGCUGGGCUCAGAGGUGAACCGGGGUUGGACUAGUCCUCUAAGGCCCAGAUACUACAAAAGCCAGAAUGUGGUUAACCCGCAGGACAGUAGGUAGAUUGGGUUUUCCAGCCGUGGCCACAGCUCCUCACCCAGGCCUUGGUAACUCCCACAGGGCAUCUAGCCUCAUGAGCCCCAUAUGAAAAGUGAUAUCCUGGCCUCACUGGUCUGUGCUCCACAACUGAGCCGAGCGCUGCUACAAGGUAACACUGCCUCUUGUACCUGUUGGCCGGGAGCCCUUCCCCAAGGUCAGAGAACACGGGGGUCAGGGUGCCACAGGUCAUCCAGCGGACCUUUAGGAACUCCUGGCACCGGGUGACCCACUUUAUGUUUGACACGGCCCAGGACCUCUCUCGUGUCCUCCAGGCUAGGCAUUAACUUAAAGGCCCUUGGAACAAGGCAAGUGGUCCUAGAGAGCCUGGACAGCUCUGAAGGCACACAGGCCUCCCAGGCUAGGGACCUUCCAUCCACAGGAGACCCUAGUUGACUCUGCACAGGGAAUGGGCAGCCUGGGAAGGCACCACCAGGGACGUUGAGUUAGUCACUCAAGGGAAUGUGGGAAGGAGAUUGGGACAAGAGCUCCAGAGGGAGGCCUGGUACCCUAAGCCACAGAGACCCACUACUCCCUCCACCUCCAGGAACAAGAGGCCCUUUCUGCAGUGGAUGGAGGUGGCCACACACUUGUGCCUUUAUGAAGAGCCCUGGGAUUCUGUUCUAGAGCUUGGAGUCCCCACAGUACCUACUCAGGAUAGAGAGGAAAGGACAGAGGUCAGGGCGCCAAGUAUGGGCCAGUGGGCCUGGACAACAACUGAAAGCCAGCCCCUCCAGCAGCCAGGACAGCCAGCACAGCAGGACAAAACAUUUAUUGCUCCACUAGGUACCCUCAGGGGCCAAUAUGACAUGGGCAAUUCUCCCAAUGGCUGGUUCCAUGCAUCAGCAGCAGCUGCAAGGCAGCCCCACGCCAAUAAGAUCCAGGCACUGAGACUCCCUUGAAGCUAGCCACACACCAGGUAUAGACGCCAGGCCCAAGGUGACAUGUGCAGCAGGUCCACGGCCCCUUUUUGACCCUUGCUCCAACAUGGGCUUGACGGGUCACCGGAGGCAUAGUCCUGUCCUACUGGACCCCUUCCACAGGAUGAUGCCUAAUUCUAGAUGACAGGGAUUCUGGGUACAAGUGCUCACACAUGGCCUGUGCAGCACUCAAGGCUAUAGGGUCACCACCUUGGAUCUCUAGGCCAGUCUGGUCCCUUCAUCAGCCCUGGAGAAGUUCGGUGGAGAUAGAGGCAGGGCCAGGCUUUCUGGGUUAGCUGAACCAUAGCUUUUGGCUGUAGACCACCAGUGGCUGGAGCCUUGGACCAGGGAUGAGACAGUCCAUUGUGUAGAUCAGCUCAGGCUUUAGGCAAUGCCCAGAGCUUCCUCUGCCCUCAGCCUGUACCAUUUGGUCUCCACACCCAGGAGAGCCCAUAGCAGGGGAAACUUCAUGUUGACAAAAA